AGGCCUGUAGCUCAGGUGGUUAGAGCGCACCCCUGAUAAGGGUGAGGUCGGUGGUUCAAGUCCACUCAGGCCUA
rnacentral:tRNA from 2 species